GUCCCUAAUCCCCCAUGGUAAAUACCACAAGCGUGAGAACUCUAUGCCAGCUGUAUACUGCAGUAGGAAACAUGAGUGCGUUAUAGUUGUUUUAAGGUGUUUACAUCAAAGCCUCUUCUGGCUUGCAGUUUGUACACCCGGGGUGUGUUACGCAAGCGAAGCAGCUGGAGGACUUUGUCUGAAAGUUAACAGAAGGAUCGGUGCUGUCGUUCAGGCCAGCUGGGAAGGCUAUCCCAGCACCAACGGUGUGGGAACGUGAGCUGCAGCGGUCUGCGGAGCAGCCUGACGAAUCGACGUUUGCGCACGUGCCGACAGAUCAACGAGCCUGGCGUUCAGAACAUCCUCGUCUAAGAGUAAAUGGUCUUGGCAGAGAUCGUGUCUCCCACGGUGGCCCACAGACUGGUAGAAGAUUACAGCUGCCUAACAUCCCUGUGAGUGAAAAUCAGUCACAAACGAAAUGCAUGCUGGAGGAAAAGGCCAGAGGAGAGUGUGGGCACAGCUAAUGAACCUCGGCUCUGACCUGGCUUCCCUUACCUGCCUAGGAGGAUUAUUACCUGGUGCCUCGAAGCUGGACUAGAAGAUAGCUUAAUUACAUCGAUCACAAUCAAGUGAUACGUGAAGUUAAUUGCCUUUUUCACAAAAAAAAAAACAACAAGCCACAAAGCACCGUGGGGCUUUCAGGGGGGGGGGGACUUUCACUGCCUAGACUUUUAUUGCACUGCCGUUUGUCAUAUUGCCAUCGAUAUUCUGGAAGACACUACCUACCCAGCCCGUCCAUAACCUUUUCACCCCCCUGCCCUCUGGAAGAUGCUGCAAGGCCAUAAAAUCUCACACCUCAAAAUUCAAAAACAGUUUCUACUCUAAAGCUGUCACUGAUCUGACCCCCUUCACUGUAACCCCCCUCCCCCAUAAACCCCUGACUGUCAGGCACAGAAUUGUCUGAUAUGUGAUUAUGUGUCAUGUUCACUACUAUGUGUUUCGUGCCAUACUGUGGGUUAGGUGCAAUACUAAGUCUAAUGAUUAAUACUACCUGUCAUGUGCAAACCAUUGUACCAUGUACAAAAACUAUAUUUAUUUACUUAUUUAAACUUUGAAACGCAUUAUUCUAUGUAGCAUAUUCCACUUCUUUGUAGCCUACCGCAUAUUUAAAUUUUAUUUUUAAAUUUCUUAGUCUUCGUAUUUGGUGUUUUUUUUUUUUUAGGUAUCAUCUGUUCCAGGUGAUGCACUGAAAAUGUCUUGUACUGAAAAUGUAAAAUGACCAUAAAGGCAUUCUAUUGUAUUCUAUUCUAUUCUAUUGCCACCCCCCACCCCUCCGUGCAUCUGUCCCUUUCCCUGCAACAAUGGCUUAAGAAUUUCACUGUUCCUCCCAACAUACGUGACAAUAAAACUUGAAGAGAUCCGGCCAGACACUCUCGAUCCCUGAC